AGUGAACGCUGGCGGUAGGCCUAACACAUGCAAGUCGAACGGCAGCACAGUAAGCUCUUGCUCUUACGGUUGGCGAGUGGCGGACGGGUGAGGAAUACAUCGGCAUCUACUUUUUCGUGGGUGAUAACGUAGGACAACUUACGCUAAUACCUCAUACUACCUACGGGUUAAAGCAGGAGAUCUUCGGACCUUUCGCGAUUGAAUGAGCCGAUGUCGCAUUAGCUAGUUGGCGGGGUAAAGGCCCACCAAGGCAACGAUCCGUAGCUGGUCUGAGAGGAUGAUCAGCCACACUGGAACUGAGACACGGUCCAGACUCCUACGGGAGGCAGCAGUAGGGAAUAUUGGACAAUGGGCGCAAGCCUGACCGAGCCAUACCGCGUGAGUGAUGAAGGCCUUCGGGUUGUAAAGCCCUUUUGUUGGGAAAGAAAAGCAGUAGGUGAAUACCCCGAUGUUCUGACGGUACCCAAAGAAAAAGCAACGGCUAACUUCGUG
rnacentral:rRNA from 1 species